GACUAGAGCUAAAGGCCCAGCACUGGCUUUCUGGACACGACAGGGUUACCAACGACUCUCAUGUGAUCCUAGAGACAAGAAGGACACCUCAAAUUCAACGGAUUGAAUUUCUCACCAUACAGGCAAGCUGAUUUAAUAUGAUUUGGGAACAUUCUGAAUGUGGCACUUUUUUUAAUACUCAAGUCUAUGAGUAAAAUUGAUCACCGUUAAAUGUAUAUCACCUCAAUAAAAACUCACAACAGUCUUAUGAAGUGGGUGUCAUUGACAUCCCCAUUUAGCAGAGGAGGUUGAGCCUCAGAGGGUUAAGUAACUUGAUCGCUCACAGCAGAACUUUCAACGCAACCCCCCUGCUUGGGAAGGCCACCUUCCCUGCAUCAUCGUCUUUGGCUAAUAAUUGGUUCGGAGUUUUCAUUCUUGAAUUUGGUGAAACCUUUAUUCUGACAUGGUUUCUCCUGAAUUCCUUUAGGAGAAAUUGAAUUCAUGGUCUAGCACCCACUGUAUCGCCUCACUUGGUCACAGCACCUGGAUGCAUGGCUGUCUGGGGGAGUGGGGGACGGUGGGCACCGAGGCCUGAAGAAGACCAGGGCCCAUGGUGCCUACUGGCUCCCCGCCCCAAACACCCUCCUCACCUGGGCCCCCUUUGGUCCCGUGCUGAGCUUCCUGGCAUCUCCCCCCCAGAGGCAGAAGCUGUUUCCCUCCCUGACAGGAGGGCACAGAAGGGCACUAAAGGUGUCACUCAUCACGUACCCCCAAGUCUCUUCCUCUCAGCUGUGCAGGGAAGGGCAGAUCACGCUCAGUGUUAUUUAAAAACUCAAAAAAAAAAAGAAAAGAAAAGAAAGGGAG
rnacentral:lncRNA from 10 species